rnacentral:rRNA from 1 species
AUUGAACGCUGGCGGCAUGCUUUACACAUGCAAGUCGAACGGUAACAGGCCGCAAGGUGCUGACGAGUGGCGAACGGGUGAGUAAUGCAUCGGAACGUGCCCAGUCGUGGGGGAUAACGCAGCGAAAGCUGCGCUAAUACCGCAUACGAUCUGUGGAUGACAGCGGGGGACCGUGAGGCCUCGCGCGAUCGGAGCGGCCGAUGGCAGAUUAGGUAGUUGGUGGGGUAAAGGCUCACCAAGCCGACGAUCUGUAGCUGGUCUGCGAGGACGACCAGCCACACUGGGACUGAGACACGGCCCAGACUCCUACGGGAGGCAGCAGUGGGGAAUUUUGGACAAUGGGCGCAAGCCUGAUCCAGCAAUGCCGCGUGUGGGAUGACGGGGCUUUGCCUUGUAAACCACUGUCGGACGGGACGAGAAGAGGUAUGAACCUCUGGGACGGUACCGUCAAAGGAAGGAUCGGCUAACUACGUGCCAGCCGCCGCGGUAAAAC